rnacentral:piRNA from 1 species
GGGAACCAGACUAUAACCAAGCC